rnacentral:rRNA from 1 species
AUGGGCCGCAGGCUUCUUCUUCCCCACACGAGGAGGCUUAUGUUUUUCCUGCGGCCGAUGCGCUACUCUGCCUCCGCCACUGCCAUCGCUGGCUCUUCGCGCGACCCGCUCCACGUGUGCAUCGUCGGCAGUGGCCCUGCCGGGUUCUACACAGCCGAAAAGAUGCUGAAGGGUCAUGAAGGAGUGCAGGUCGAUAUUAUUGACAGGUUGCCAACACCGUUUGGCUUAGUUCGUUCUGGAGUGGCUCCAGAUCAUCCAGAAACAAAGAUUGUGGUAAACCAAUUUUCUCGUGUAGCUGCGAAUCCACGCUGCUCUUUUUUUGGGAAUGUAACACUUGGAAGUGAUGUAUCUCUAUCAGAGCUUCGAAAGACAUAUGAUGUUGUCGUUCUUGCUUAUGGUGCAGAAAGCGAUAGAUCAUUUGGUAUUCCUGGGGAGGACCUUAGAGGAAUACAUUCUGCUCGAGAGUUUGUAUGGUGGUAUAAUGGGCACCCAGACAUGUGCAACUUGGCACCUGACUUGACAAACACAGAUUCUGCUGUGGUCCUUGGACAGGGAAAUGUUGCGCUUGAUGUUGCCCGUAUUCUUCUUCGCUGUACAACCGAGUUGGCUUCCACAGAUAUUGCUGGUUAUGCUUUGGAUGCUCUCCGUAGCAGCACAAUAAGGAAAGUUUACUUGGUUGGGCGACGAGGCCCAGUACAGGCAGCUUGCACAGCAAAGGAAUUACGUGAAAUUUUGGGUAAUUACAAAAUGUGUUUGAAAAAUGUGAAUGUUUGCAUCAAGGAGGCUGAUCUUGCGACAUCGCCUGCGGAUAAGGAGGAGAUGAGGAAUAGUAGAAUAAAAAGACGGGUGUAUGAGCUGCUAUCGAAAGCUGCUACCGUGCAUCAGGAAAACAACGAUAAUGACCAAAAGGAGCUUCAUUUUGUGUUUUUUAGGAAACCUACCAAAUUUCUCCCUUCAGAUGAUGGUUCCACGGUUGGUGCUGUGGAACUUGAAAAGACUCUCUUAAAAGAUGAUGGAGCAGCUGGAAAGCAGGUGGCAGUUGGAACUGGUGAGUUUGAAGAACUAAAAUGUGGAAUUGUUUUGAAGAGUAUUGGGUACAAAUCCUUGCCAAUAGAAGGUUUGUCCUUCGACAAAUACAGAGGAGUUGUCCCAAAUUUGAGGGGCAGAGUUCUGUGCAGUGAAUCAGAGACUGCCACGGUGGAGCUAGGACUGUACGUGGUAGGAUGGUUGAAGAGAGGACCAACUGGGAUUGUUGCUACAAAUCUCCAUUGUGCCGAAGAAACGGUGGCUAGCAUCCUUGAAGACGACAGGAAGGGCGUAUUCACCGACCCAUCUGGUCCGAAAAGGCAAGGCCGGCGGGGACUACUUGAGAUUCUAGAACAAAAGAAUGCCCGCUAUGUGCCCUUCGAUGGCUGGGAGAAGAUCGAUUCCAAAGAGAAGGCGACCGGCGAGCUGAAGAACAAGCCCAGGGAGAAGAUCACCAGAUGGAAUGAGCUCCUGGAAGCCGCAAGGGAGGGUGAUUGA